CGUGGUGGCCCCAGGGGCCAACAUCACUCUCUGGUGCUCAAGGCCCAAGCUGUCUUCCCUUGAAGAGGUGACCUUUACUCUGUAUAAGGCUGAGACCCUUACAGCAGCAGGCCUCAGCAGAGCUCUGGACUAGCUUCCUGAUCCCAUAUGUGAGACCUGAAGACACUGGGAGCUACAGCUGUUCUUACAGGGAAAGGAAAGUAUCUUCUAGAGGAUCAGAGCCCAGUGAGGCCCUGGAGCUGCUGGUACCAGGAUCUCUACCCAAGCCUUCCCUCUCAGCCCUCCUUGGCCUUGUGGUGGAGCCCAGGAUGCAUGUGACUCCCCAGUGCCGCCAGCCUCAUCAGUCAUCCCUCUGGAGGGUGACAUUCACUCUGCUGAAGAUGGGGACCCCCAAGCCCCUGCAGAGCCAGAACUCAGCUGGGACCUCAGCUGCCUUUCCUUUCCUCUCUGUGAGGGCCCAGGAUGCUGGCAACCACAGCUGUGUCUACCACAGGAGGGUGACUUCAUACCAGGUGUCUGAGCCCAGCGAGGUCCUAGAGAUCUUGGUGACAGGACCACCCCUCUCUUCACCUCAACUCACUCCCUUCUCCUCAUCCCCUAUCUUCACCUCCCAAUUCCCAGGAGGCCCUGGAAGCACAGCCAACCCCUGACCAAUAAGUGAAAGGUGGACAUCUGUUAACCUCGACCCUGUCUCUCCUGGCCAGUAUCUCAGAGGCUAUAAUUGUACCUCAUCUGCCUCAGUGGCCAUGUUUUGGGGAAAUGAGGACAAGGAGAAGCAGGCUGCAGGCGCACCUACAGAAAUAUCCAUCAGACAAGCAAGGGAUCCCACGACCUCCAACGUGGUGACAGCCCCAGCUAGUCCUGAUCCCAGGUUCACAGGACCUUCCACAAAGCCCCAACCCUUGCCACUCCAGGCAGAGGCACAGAUUUGUGAGUUAUUAGUACCUCUCAUCUAAGGUGGAGAAGACUGGGCUGGGACCAGAAUCGGGGGGUUUGUGCUGGUCCAUGGGCCCAAAUUUCUUGGUCUCCUUAGAGUUGCCCAAACCCUCUGUCAGUAGCAGCCUUUGUCCGAAUGACUGCUCCCCUAGGUUGCACCACUCUCAGUCAGAUUGCUUAAUGUCUAAUCUCAUCCAGAGUGUCCUGGCCAGGCUCAUCCUCAUUGCCCUAGGACUCUUGCUGUCCAAGGCCAAAGACUACUAGAGUAGCCAUGGAGCAGUGAAGGGACUCCCUGACUGAAUGGAAAGGAAGAUGGUGCAUGUGGGGAUAGGGGUGGGAAUGUCAAAAGGUGGUGCGGAAAGCAAUGAAUAAAUCAUUCACCUAAACCUGGGCA
rnacentral:lncRNA from 1 species